rnacentral:rRNA from 1 species
UACGGGGGGGGCAAGCGUUGUUCGGAAUUACUGGGCGUAAAGGGCUCGUAGGCGGCCAACUAAGUCGGACGUGAAAUCCCCAGGCUCAACCUGGGAACUGCGUCCGAUACUGGAUGGCUUGAAUCCGGGAGAGGGAUGCAGAAUUCCAGGUGUAGCGGUGAAAUGCGUAGAUAUCUGGAGGAAUACCGGCGGCGAAGGCGGCCCCCUGGCCCGCAACUGACGCUCAUGGUCGAAAGCGUGGGGAGCAAACAGG